rnacentral:lncRNA from 1 species
UCGGGGUCUAAGCGUGACGCGGGAUUGCCGUUUUUUUGUAAGCGUGACACGUGAAAGUCAAAAUAUUGUUGCGUGAAAACGGGAAAUGAGGUCUUGCGGGACCCGGGAAAUGACAAUGAGACCCCCUUUAAAUUGCUGUUCAUGGUUAUAGUAAAGUGAGUAUUAUCAGGUAAGUUUUCGCUAAAAUGGGCUAUCGAAAAUACAGGUGAACGCAAGAACGGGUUUAUACGGCGCUAUUUAAAAUGAACUCUAAU